AAGAAAUGAUCUCGAGUCUUCAUAUCAUGCCCCUGGCAUAGGACACAAUUAUAAGAUGGAAGAUGGAAAUUUCUCCUCAGGAGCAUCCCUCUGUUGAUAAGACGAUCGAUGAGCUAGGAGGAGCCAGCAGAAGAUUUCCAGAGCCAUUUGAAAGAAUCAGUAACCUCACUCAGUUCUGUAACUGAAGCUUUUGUGUAACCAUACCCACGAUCGAGAAUCCAAGGAGACAAAUUGGACUCAAUGAUCCUGCAACAAAAUCUUUUGGCAUCCCUCCCCUUCCCAUCCUAUAAAUACACCCAACAUCUGCUGGAGUCUAUCCAUCUCCGAGCUGGAAUGCCGUAGAAGUUCUGAAACCAUGCAUGGCUUCUAACAGGAUCUCCCUCAAGCUGCUGGUGGACACCAAAUCGAAGAAUAUGCUGUCCGCUUAGGCGGGCAAGGAGUUCGUGUUCAACCUGCAGGAGCUCUCCGUCGGCAACGUGGCAAAGCUCAUCUCCUCCGGAGCCAUGCACGGAAGCAUCGGCAGGGUGUACGGGACAACUGCUGGCCUCAUGGGCUUCUCCACGAAACCAACCUCCGGGUGAAGAAGCAAGGGAGUUGGGGCUUUCUCCAAUUGCGCGCUGCCUCCAGCACAUGGACAGAUGAAGGGCUUUGAUCGCAGUUUUGCUUUUCCCUCUACACAUGCGCACGUGCAGUUUUAUGAGUGCAAUUGUGCAGCACCGCCGGUGGUCACGCGUGCUUAGAAGGCAGAAACUCUUUUGCAUCUCCGUUCCCAAACAUUUCAUCCUCCAGAAAAUUUUAUUUUCAGUUUGCACAGUUUCCUUUCUGAUUUUAUCAAUUGCAGCCUUUACCCUUUAUUGUUGUCGACCAAACAAGAAUACUCACACGUUUUUAAACUACUGCUCUUGAGUUUCGAUUCAGAUUGGCGUAUUCAUGAGCAAACAAUAUAAUGUCUCGGUUUUAAUCUCUCCCAAGAAUUCUGAUCUUCUACCUAUACAUUAUUGUGAUUUCUUUCUAUUAUUUGUUGCAGGCAUUAGUAAAAUCUGGUGGCUAGAACCAAUACAUCCAUUGCUAAUCUGCCUUAUCUAAGAACUCAAGUAGGUUAGGUCAAGGCUCAUCACAUGAUGCCUGUUGGCUCAGCUUCUCUUGAGUCUUGACAUUGCUGGCACAACAAACUGCACUUGACUUUUCUUGUAAAUGGAGUGGGAACUUAUUCAAACGUUCAUGAUGUCAUUUUAGGUAUGCCAUUUGGAGCUAUGUAUGGACACAAUUUUGUCUUUUUGAAAUAUAUCAAUUCUUUAAAGGCAAGGAAUGACUCCAAUUCCAGCGGCAACAAGCGGGGUGCAAUCUAGUUUUACUUUUUUUUUUAUAAAGGGUAAUAUUAUUAAUAUCAAGAAGAUAUCAAGUACACACAGCCUCUGCAACAACACAAUGUCAAGAACAACCGAGACAUCGAGGAUGCACACAACCAAAAAAAAAGGAAAAAAAAGAAAACGAAAGGCCGAA